rnacentral:piRNA from 1 species
CAAAGUGGCCUGAGCAUGACUUCA